CUCGUAAACUAAGCAAUCGCUCUUAUCGCAAGAUAGGGGAGGAAAGUCCGAGCACUACUCCGCGAGCGUAAGCGAGCGGAUAAAACGGUAGCGGGUAACGCCCGUCGCUAGUAAUAGUAGAGGUGCGAGCAGAGACGUCUUGCCUCGAAAGGGGCGGAAGAUUAAACCCAAGUUUUUGCCAAAUUGUCAGAAACUAAUGUCUAGCCUUGAUUCGGGUGAAUAAGAUCAAGGGUGAAACGGCUAAAUCCUUACUGGGGUGCAAGAUCAGCGUUUCCGGCUUCGGCAACCGCUGGAGCCGGAUUCGAAAAGUUAGAUCGCUCGAGCUUAUUGGUAACAAUGAGCCCAGAUAAAUGAUUGCUCUCGACAGAACUCGGCUUACUGUUUACGGGGACA
rnacentral:RNase_P_RNA from 10 species